UACGGAGGGGGCUAGCGUUGUUCGGAAUUACUGGGCGUAAAGCGUGCGCAGGCGGUUCUAUAAGACAGAUGUGAAAUCCCCGGGCUCAACCUGGGAACUGCGUCUGGGACGGGGUGGCUAGAGAUCGGGAGAGGAGCGUGGAAUUCCCAGUGUAGAGGUGAAAUUCGUAGAUAUUGGGAAGAACACCGGUGGCGAAGGCGGCGCUCUGGACCGAUACUGACGCUGAGGCGCGAAAGCGUGGGGAGCAAACAGGG
rnacentral:rRNA from 1 species